ensembl:lncRNA
AUGGCGAGCAUCGUGACAACGCUAACCGCAUCUUGGGGCACCCACGAAUCUAAGCCCAUCCUCAACACGAACUGUCCCGGGCUGGCACCAAGCCCUCAACAAGGCACCCCCGGGCCCUGCCCGCAGCUUUGUUACCUUCCUCCAAGGUGCGUAACGAGGACGAUGACGGUGGGGGAGGCUUUAUCCCAACCAGCCCUAAGAGGCUGGGGGGACCGAGGGCUUUCCCAGCGCGGGGAUGCCUCAGGACCCCCGGAGGCUCCCACCCCCCGGGCGGCGGGGCUGAAGGACGGAGGGACGGGAACACACCGGUGCUCUCUGCCCCCCCCGCAAGCCUCUCCCCCCUUCCUUCCCUUCCCAACCGCGUCCCUCCCAGCCCUCCCCCGCUCACCCUCCCGUCUCGGCUCCCGAGUCCCCGCAGUCCUCCUCGCCGCCGGGCUGCUGCUGCUGCUGCUGCUCCAUGGCGGCGGCGCCGCGGCUCCGUCCAUGCCGCUCCGCUCCGCACCGCUCCGCGCCGCCGGCUGCGGGAGGGAGGCGGCGGCGGGAGGCUCCGGACCGCCCCUGCACGGGGGUCGGGGCCGAGCCUUUCCCUCCCCNNNNNNNNNNNNNNNNNNNNGCUGCGGCCUCUUUGCCCCCUGCCUGCGGGGAUUCACAGCCCUGGGUGAGAUCCCCCUGAGCCUCCUCUUCUCCAGGCUGAGCAGUCCCAGCUCUCCCGGCCUCUGCUCACAGGAGAGGUGCUCCAGGCCCUUCCUCACCUGGGUGGCCCGCUGCUGUAUUUUAUUCAACUGCUGUUAUUCAGGCUGUAGCAGACUACAAGAGAAUGGGGCAGAACUGAUUUGUCACCUCCCGGCUCCAAACUGGGAGACCACUGCUUGUGUCUCCACCAAAUCAGAAAAGAAGGAAAAUGGUCAAAAUCUCAACAUCAAAAAAUACUAGACUGGACCAGGAGGUAGAAAUGCAUCACAUAAGCCAGGAGUAAGAGAGUAAGACAUGGUAAACUGGUUUAGUUUUCCACUAGUACUCGUUUAGCUAUGUCUACGUUGUACAGCAUCGAUGUCCUUUAUUUUAAGAUAUGUUCAUGAUUGCCAAUGGUGCAGUAAACCGUGUAUAACCAACCGUACAGUAACUCAAAUCAAGAGUAGCAUUUAAUUUUGUUUAAAAGGCUCAUAAUGGAUAUAGCUCACACAACUGUUGUCUCUAAUAGUUUGUGGCCAUGGUUGUCUAAAAUAAUCUGUAUCUGGGUGUGAGUGCUGUAAAAUGAGAGGGAACAGCUUGGGAACAGCUGCAAAGGUGGUUUCAGCACACUGUAGGAACAACGAGCUUUUACCAAACCCAGCAAUGCUUGUCCUGGCACUGGUGAAUUCCCACUGCUCUAGCAGAGUGCCACAGGACUCGUGCACAGCCCUGCAGCCUCUUGGCGUCACAGGUUGAUCCAAAAUGUGUCUCCAGUGGUCUUUAGGAGAGUCUUUCAAUCUCUACUACUCAACAAUUAGAAAAAAUCAUACCAUUGCAUAGGAAACUUGGUAUUUUAUCUGUUUUGAAUAUGACUUGUUUUGUGUCCAUAGCAUUUUGAAAGCAGUAAAAAUGAUUCUUCAGUUUCUAUGGAGGAUUUCAUGUAAGUAUUUUAAUAAAUAUAGUGCUUUAAGUAUGGGAUGAGCCCUU